CGCAGGGACCGGAAGUGUGGCUUUCAUCUACACAUUUAGCAUGUAGGUAGGAGAGAGCACCCAGAGAUAUUGAUUCCCAAGGGAUUUGACGACGGAGUCUGGUCUGGAAUGGAAUUGUAGUCUUAGGCCAGAAUCUUAGGUUUUAGAGCAGAAUAGCGGGUAUCGGGAGUCGGUUGAGGGCCAGAAGCGAGCACCAGAGUUUGGAUCCUGGAGAAAGUUCCACGUCGAGGGUGCUGAGGACGCCUAGGUCUCUUUCCCAGGGCCAUGGCGAACUCGACGCUGCUGGCACCGGAGCUAAGCGAGGCAGAGACGGUGGGUGCCGAGACGGCACGAUUCGAGGAGCUGCAGCUGCAGGCCUCCAAGGAGCUCCAGCAAGCUCAGACAACCAGACCAGAACCUACACAAAUUCAGCCUCAGCCUGGUUUCUGCAUAAAGACCAACUCAUCGGAAGGGAAGGUUUUCAUCAACAUCUGUCACUCUCCCUCCAUCCUGCCUCCGGCUGACGUGACCGAGGACGAGCUGCUUCAGAUGCUGGAGGAGGACCAAGCCGGGUUUCGCAUCCCCAUGAGUCUGGGAGAGCCUCAUGCCGAACUGGAUGCAAAAGGCCAGGGUGGUACCGCCUACGAUGCAGCUGUCAACAGCGACUUCUACUGGAGGAUGCAGAACUGCGAUUUCUUGCGGGGGCUCGUGAUCACCAUCGCCAGGGAGGGCCUUGAGGACAAAUACAGCUUGCAGUUGAACCCAGAAUGGCGCAUGUUGAAGAACCGGCCUUUCCUGGGCUCUAUCUCUCAGCAGAGCAUCUGCUCCAAGCAGCGUCCUCGGAUCCAAGAGCUGGGGGACCUGGACACGCCAGACUCCCAGAGAAGCCUCACCUAAACCUUUGGCUGGAAGCUCCUGAUCUCCUCUUAGCCGAAAUUUACCUCCCCAAACUGGGUGGAGCCCUGGGGCUGUCCGCUGGAGAUCGGGGAGCACCGCCUGGUGAUGGGGGGUCCCAGCAGCUGUAUCAUCUGGACGCCCACAUCCCCCUGCAGAUCAACUCCAAGGAGACCAGGGCGGUCUUCCAUCGGAAGAGGAAGCAAUUGAUGGUGGCCAUGCCCCUUCUGUCGGCGCCUUCUUGACCAGGCUUUCUCCCUAUGUGUCCAGAUGUGGCGAACAGGCUGGUGGCUUCCCUUAGAAUUGAAAUAAAAGAUUCUGCCUCUGAAAA